ACACGGAGGGUGCGAGCGUUGUUCGGAAUUACUGGGCGUAGAGGGCGCGUAGGCGGCUUGGCAAGUCUGAUGUGAAAGCCCGGGGCUCAACCCCGGAAGUGCAUCGGAAACUGCCAGGCUUGAGUCCGGAAGAGGAGGGCAGAAUUCCCGGUGUAGGGGUGAAAUCCGUAGAUAUCGGGAGGAAAACCAGUGGCGAAGGCGGCCCUCUGGGACGAGACUGACGCUGAGGCGCGAAAGCGUGGGGAGCAAACAGGAUUAGAAACCCGAGUAGUCC
rnacentral:rRNA from 1 species